AAUGAACGCUGGCGGCAUGCCUAACACAUGCAAGUCGAACGAGAUCUUCGGAUCUAGUGGCGCACGGGUGAGUAACGCGUGGGAACCUACCUUUUAGUACGGGACAACGUUUGGAAACGAACGCUAAUACCGUAUACGCCCUCCGGGGGAAAGGUCAGCCGCUGAAAGAGGGGCCCGCGUCUGAUUAGCUUGUUGGUAAGGUAACGGCUUACCAAGGCAACGAUCAGUAGCUGGUCUGAGAGGAUGAUCAGCCACACUGGGACUGAGACACGGCCCAGACUCCUACGGGAGGCAGCAGUGGGGAAUAUUGGACAAUGGGCGCAAGCCUGAUCCAGCCAUACCGCGUGUGUGAAGAAGGCUUUAGGGUUGUAAAGCACUUUCAGCGAGGAGGAAAGGUUAACGAUUAAUACUCGUUAGCUGUGACGUUACUCGCAGAAGAAGCACCGGCUAACUCCG
rnacentral:rRNA from 1 species